CAAUCCAUGAGUAGAGUGGCAAACGGGUGAGUAACGCGUGGGCGACCUACCUCUGAGUGGGGGAUAACCUUCCGAAAGGAGGGCUAAUACCGCAUGACAUCCCGCCUUUAGAUAGGCGGACAUCAAAGCCGGGGAUCGCAAGACCUGGCGCUUGGAGAGGGGCCCGCGUCCGAUUAGCUAGUUGGUGAGGUAACGGCUCACCAAGGCUCCGAUCGGUAUCCGGCCUGAGAGGGCGGACGGACACACUGGAACUGAGACACGGUCCAGACUCCUACGGGAGGCAGCAGUGGGGAAUUGUUCGCAAUGGGCGAAAGCCUGACGACGCAACGCCGCGUGGAGGAUGAAGACCUUCGGGUCGUAAACUCCUUUCGACCGAGAUGAAUACUGUUCGACCUAACACGUCGAAUGGCUGACAGUAUCGAGGGAAGAAGCCCCGGCUAACUCUGUGCCAGCAGCCGCGGUAAUACAGGGGGGGCAAGCGUUGUUCGGAAUUAUUGGGCGUAAAGGGUUCGUAGGCGGUCGACUCAGUCAGACGUGAAAUCCCUCGGCUUAACCGGGGAACUGCGUCUGAUACUGGUUGGCUUGAGUGCAGGAGAGGAAUGCGGAAUUCCAGGUGUAGCGGUGAAAUGCGUAGAUAUCUGGAGGAACACCGGUGGCGAAGGCGGCAUUCUGGACUGUAACUGACGCUGAGGAACGAAAGCCAGGGGAGCAAACGGGAUUAGAUACCCCGGUAGUCCUGGCCCUAAACGAUGAAUGCUUGGUGUGACGGGUAUCGAUCCCUGUCGUGCCGAAGUUAACGCGAUAAGCAUUCCGCCUGGGGAGUACGGUCGCAAGGCUGAAACUC
rnacentral:rRNA from 1 species